rnacentral:tRNA from 1 species
GCCCCCGUAGCUCAGCCGGAUAGAGCGUCGGCCUCCGGAGCCGGAAGCGCAGGUUCGAGUCCUGCCGGGGGUACCA